rnacentral:rRNA from 1 species
UACGUAGGGGGCUAGCGUUGUUCGGAUUUAUUGGGCGUAAAGAGCGUGUAGGCGGCCAGGUAGGUCUGGUGUGAAAACUCGAGGCUUAACCUCGAGAUGUCAUCGGAAACCAUCUGGCUAGAGUCCGGAAGAGGAGAGUGGAAUUCCUGGUGUAGCGGUGAAAUGCGCAGAUAUCAGGAAGAACACCAAUGGCGAAGGCAGCUCUCUGGGACGGUACUGACGCUGAGACGCGAAAGCGUGGGGAGCAAACAGG